rnacentral:misc_RNA from 1 species
AGCAGCCGCGGUAAUUCCAGCUCCAAUAGCGUAUAUUAAAGUUGUUGCAGUUAAAAAGCUCGUAGUUGAAUUUCGGGAUUGACGUGAUGGUCAUGCCUUAAGGGGUAUGAACUGUCGCUGUUGAUUUCUCACCUUCUGGAGAAACUUGAUGUCCUUAAUUGGGUGUCUUGCGGAUCCAGGACCUUUACCUUGAAAAAAUUAGAGUGUUUAAAGCAGGCAUUUUUGCUCGAAUACAUUAGCAUGGAAUAAUAGAAUAGGACGGCAUGGUUCUAUUUUGUUGGUUUCUAGGAUCACCGUAAUGAUUAAUAGGGAUAGUUGGGGGCAUUAGUAUUCAAUUGUCAGAGGUGAAAUUCUUGGAUUUAUUGAAGACUAACUACUGCGAAAGCAUUUGCCAAGGAUGUUUUCAUUAAUCAAGAACGAAAGUUAGGGGAUCGAAGACGAUCAGAUACCGUCGUAGUCUUAACCAUAAACUAUGCCGACUAGGAAUCAGACGAUGUUAAUUUUUUCAAUGACUCGUUU